rnacentral:rRNA from 1 species
AUGAACGCUGGCGGCGUGCCUAAUACAUGCAAGUCGAGCGAACGGACGAGAAGCUUGCUUUUCUGAUGUUAGCGGCGGACGGGUGAGUAACACGUGGAUAACCUACCUAUAAGACUGGGAUAACUUCGGGAAACCGGAGCUAAUACCGGAUAAUAUUUUGAACCGCAUGGUUCAUAAGUGAAAGACGGUCUUGCUGUCACUUAUAGAUGGAUCCGCGCUGCAUUAGCUAGUUGGUAAGGUAACGGCUUACCAAGGCAACGAUGCAUAGCCGACCUGAGAGGGUGAUCGGCCACACUGGAACUGAGACACGGUCCAGACUCCUACGGGAGGCAGCAGUAGGGAAUCUUCCGCAAUGGGCGAAAGCCUGACGGAGCAACGCCGCGUGAGCGAUGAAGGUCUUCGGAUCGUAAAACUCUGUUAUUAGGGAAGAACAUAUGUGUAAGUAACUGUGCACAUCUUGACGGUACCUAAUCAGAAAGCCACGGCUAACUACGUG